AUUAUAAAUAUAGUCUUAUACAAAACUGAUAUAUAAUUAUUAAUUCUAAAAAUAGAAGUAUACAAAGAAACUAUUAUGGAAUUUAAGCUAUGUGUUAAAGAGAAUAAGUUACAUAAAUAAGAAAAAAAAUUCUUAUAAAUGUAUAAACUCUAAGAGAAAUCUAAUAUUAAACGAAGUGAAUUGAAAUAUCUUAGUAACUUCAGGAAAAGAAAUCAAAAGAGAUUCUAUGAAUAGCGUGAGUGAAAGUAGAGAAGCCUAAAAAGUAGAACGGUUUCAAAACUGUUUAAAUAUUGGGGAACCUUCCUCAAAGGCUAAAUAUAAUACAUAAGCGAUAGUAAAAAGUACCAUGAGGGAAUAAAAACAAAAAUAGUAGUUUUAUAAGCAGUUCGAUAAAAAGAGCGUACCUUUUGCAUAAGUGGUCACCAAGUUAACAUUAGAUGCGAGCUGUCUUAACAUGCGUAGUUAAACCGAACGUUAAAUUAACGAAGAAGUGUCUAAAGUUAGACCCGAAGCCAGGUGAUUUUACCAUGGUCAGGAUUAUAAAAGUCCGAACGGGUGAUUGUAGCAAAAAUCUCCGAAGAACCGUGGUAGGUGUAGUGAAAGACAACACUGACCUGGAUAGCUGGUUUUCUGCGAAACCUAUAAUAGUAGGCAAUUUAAGUAAACAUCUUAGCAGGUACAGAAUUUAAUCUCAGACAAGGCGGUUUAUACGCUUUAUAUUGUACAAAUUGGGGGACCAUGAAGGUUUUAUCAGUGAGUAUGUAGACUCGGAAUGGCAAAGAUGUAUCUUAAAUGAUCAGACAUAGAAUGAUAAGGUUGUAUGUCGAAAGGGAAACAGCCCAGAACAAGAGUUAAGGUUCCUAAAUUAUUCGUUGAGUGAAAUUAAGAAGGUUUUUAUUAAAGUCGACAAGGAGAUAGGCUUAGAAGCAGCCAUAAUUUGAUGACCUCGUAACAGAGCGCUUGUUAAGUUAUAAAAGCAUCGAAAAUAUAACGGAUCUAAACAAUAUACCGAAACCUUGUCCAUUAUAUAUUAUAAUAAUAAUAUUUUUAUAAUUCAAUGGGGUAGCAGAACGUUGAGCUAAAUUAUGAAUUUUCUUUUUUAAAUAGAAUGAUAACGAUUUAACUCAAGUGAGAAUGGUGACAUGAGUAACUAAAAGAAAAUUUUCCGCCUUAAGCUUAUGGAUAUAUUUAAGUAACGGCCUCUAAGUUUAUAUUAUCUAAAGAUUUAAACGAUGAGAAAAGCUUUUUUACUAAGGACGACAUUUUAGUGUAAAAUGUACUGGAAAAAUAGUAAAUAUAUUUAUAGUAUAGUUAGUUUAUAAAUGAAGAAUAACCGUACCUAGAAUCUGAAACAAGUAAGCUAGUAGAGAAUACGAAGGCGUAAAUGAGCUAACAAUCAUAAAGGAACUCGGCAAAUUGACUACCGUAACUUCGGAAUAAGGAGGGCUCAUUAUUCUUGAUUAAUAUCAAGUAAAGAGGAAGAAGCAUGAAAUAAUGUUGUACGACUGUUUAAUUAAAACACAGCACUCUGCUGAAAGAUUAAAAAUCUAAGUAUAGAGUGUGAUAUCUGCCCGGUGCCGGCUGGUUAACAGAGAUAAUUAAAUACACUACUAUUUGAUGUCAACGGAAACCCCGGUUAAAGGCGGCCUUAACGUGAGGGUCCUAAGGUAGCGAAAUGCCUUGGCCGUUAAAUGCGGUCUUGCAUGAAUGGUGUAACGAUACAACAGCUGUCUCUAUGAUUGACUCAGUGAAAUUGGAAUAGCAGUGCAGAUACUGCUUACCUCUAGUUAGACGAGAAGACCCUAUGCAGCUUUACUGUCACUAAUUAUAGAUUAUGAUAGACAAUUUUCAGAUUAUAAGGUAAUUGAUUGAUGACAAUGAGAAACCUUUAUUUUUCUUUCAUAUGAAUGAAUUGGUUUAGGAGUAUGAGUGGAUUAUAAUUUAUGUGGUUUUACUGAGCCAAUUUAUUAAAUUAUAAACUAUAUACUUAUACUAGUAGAUCAGCCUAAUUCAACUUAUUAUAUUUAUUAUAGUAAGUACCCUUUGGUAAGGAACUAUCGCUAGAGGACAGUUUAUGUGGGGCACAGACCCUGUAAAGAGUAAACAGGAGUGUCUAAAAAUUUAUAAAUAUUUUGUUUGCUAUUUUGAAUAGUUUAACUAUUCUUAAUCAUAUACAAUUGAUUAUAUUUGCAUUUAUUGUAAAUAUAUUUAAGAUUAGGUAGGAUUUUCACUAUAUAGAAAUUAGAGAUAAUAAAGAUAUUAUGAAUUAUUCUAAUAUCUUUUAGCUAUCUUUUUGAUAGUUAUGUUUACAAUAUCUAAAAAGCUCAACGGCUUAAUUCUGCCUUACUGUUUGAUUAUCUACAAAUCUUACAGUUGCGUAAGCAGGGCAUAGGAUCACAAGAUGCAACAAGGAAAGAUCUUGGAUUAUUGGAAAAGCUACGCUAGGGAUAACAGGCUAAUUUGCGCAAGAGUGUACAAAAUGAGUGCGCGGUUUGGCACCUCGAUGUCGGCUUAACUUAUCCUCAUGGACGCAGGAACUAUGUAGGGUGCGACUGUUCGUCGAUUAAAAAGUUACAUGAGCUGGGUUAAAUACGUCGUGAGACAGUAUGGUUUCUAUCUUCUAGAGGGAAUUAGAAUAAAAUAAGAACUAACUUUUGUACGCAAGGAACAAGAAGAGUUUAACUUUGUUAAACUAUGGUUACUAACCUAUGGUUUACCUGUUGUUUAUGUGCCCAAAUAUUAAAUAUAUAUGCUUUUGUGUAUAUAUCUGUAUUAUUAGAAUAAUACAUAGGGAUGUAUCUUUCACUAAGAUAAUAUAUAGCAUAAGCACGGCAGGAAAGCUAAGUUGGUUAAAGAUAAGUGCUGAAAGCAUAUAGGCACGAAGCUUAUCUUAAGAUAUUUCUUAAAUAUGCGUAGCAUAAUACUACGAAUUUAUAGGCUUUAUCCGUAAGAAUUUAGAGAUUUUAAAGAUUAAAGUACUAAUUUAAUAAUUUACUAUUUAUACAUA
rnacentral:rRNA from 1 species